rnacentral:rRNA from 1 species
UGAGGAAUUUUGCGCAAUGGCCGCAAGGCUGACGCAGCAACGCCGCGUGGGUGAUGAAGGCCUUCGGGUCGUAAAGCCCUGUCAGGUGGGAAGAAAGGCCUGGAGAGGAAAGGCUUCAGGUUUGACGGUACCACCAGAGGAAGCACCGGCUAACUCCGUGCCAGCAGCCGCGGUAAUACGGAGGGUGCGAGCGUUAUUCGGAAUUACUGGGCGUAAAGCGCGUGUAGGCGGGGAGACAAGUCUGAUGUGAAAGCCCUGGGCUUAACCUGGGAAGCGCAUUGGAAGCUGUUUUUCUUGAGUACUGGAGAGGAAGGGGGAAUUCCAGGUGUAGAGGUGAAAUUCGUAGAGAUCGGGAGGAAUACCAGUGGCGUAGGCGCCCUUCUGGACGGUAACUGACGCUGAGACGCGAAAGCGUGGGGAGCAAACAG